UAGAAAAAUAAUGAUAGCAUACUGACGAUGAGUGGAAAAUAUAUAUUAAACAGAAGUGAAAAUGGAAGUCACCGCACCGCCGAAAUAUAAUAUAGAGCUUGAAAGAUGCGAUUUCAAUCAAAUUGGCCCAAUGAAAAAUAAGAAAGAAAUUCGCGUGUCAAGAGUUCCAUACCUAGAAAGCACGUCAUAUCCUGGUUUCAGGUUUAUUACCAACAACCGCGAAUGAAUGGAAGGUGGAUGAUAAAGCAUGUUAAAAGAGGGUUGGAGGCACAACGCAACCGGCGAAGAGGAGACCGGAUAAUAGCAUCAGAGGAACCGGAAAGCAUAACCACUCGCAAAAGUGGAACCUACUACUUCCACCAUUUUCUGCGAUGAUGACCCUUUACAAAUUAUCAAAAUAACCUUCGAGACAAUACAUACAAAAUGAAUAACAAAUUUAUUCUAAUAUACAAAAAAAGAUUUCUUUAGUUAUUUUAUUAAUUACUUAAGAAUAAGAUUUUAUAGAGGAAAAAAAAAAUAAUCAUAACCCACGUCGUAUUUUGGUUAAAACAAGACAAUGUUUCUUAAAAUUUACGCCACGCCCAUAUACAUUCAACCUCUUAACUUCCGGCACCACCUAUAUUAUAUACGAUGUAAAGACCCCCCCUCCCCAUUCGAGACUGAACCAACCCUCCUCGACCUCUAGAAUUCCCAACUUUCAGGGUUGUAGAAAGUUUUACCCUAACAUGGACAAUACUUUUUCAUGCCAAGUUUGUCUAAAACCAGACGCAUCAGAAGCGAAACCUGUCUUAAAUGAAAGGGGAAUGUUUAAGUAUAUCUAAAACUGAAUAUGUUAAAAAUAACCAAUUUUGUUCCAAUUUCGAAUAUUUUUCUAUUACAAGUUGAAUUAUUUUUCCUAUAUUUAAACAAGAUGAUAAAAAAUUCAGUACUCCUUACUGAUUAAGGCAUAUCUCUUUUCUCUAAC